GCCUUCAUGGUGUAGUGGUCAGCACACUCGAUGCGAAUUCGAGAGGUCCGUGGUUCGAGUCCCGGCGAGGGCA
rfam:Stegodyphus mimosarum contig49761, whole genome shotgun sequence.